UGGGGAAUAUUGGACAAUGGGCGCAAGCCUGAUCCAGCAAUGCCGCGUGUGUGAAGAAGGCCUUCGGGUUGUAAAGCACUUUUAUCAGGAGCGAAACGCUGUCGGCUAAUACCCGGCGGAACUGACGGUACCUGAGGAAUAAGCACCGGCUAACUUCGUGCCAGCAGCCGCGGUAAUACGAAGGGUGCAAGCGUUAAUCGGAAUUACUGGGCGUAAAGCGUGCGUAGGCGGUUUCUUAAGUCUGCUGUGAAAUCCCCGGGCUCAACCUGGGAAUGGCAGUGGAUACUGGGAGGCUAGAGUGUGUCAGAGGGUGGUGGAAUUCCCGGUGUAGCGGUGAAAUGCGUAGAGAUCGGGAGGAACAUCAGUGGCGAAGGCGGCCACCUGGGACAACACUGACGCUGAGGCACGAAAGCGUGGGGAGCAAACAGGAUUAGAUACCCUGGUAGUCCGCGCCCUAAACGAUGCGAACUGGAUGUUGGUCUCAACUCGGAGAUCAGUGUCGAAGCUAACGCGUUAAGUUCGCCGCCUGGGGAGUACGGUCGCAAGACUGAAACUUAAAUGAAUUGACGGGGUCAUAGCUGUUUCC
rnacentral:rRNA from 1 species